AGUCGAACGGCAGCGCGGACUUCGGUCUGGCGGCGAGUGGCGAACGGGUGAGUAAUACAUCGGAACGUGUCCUGUAGUGGGGGAUAGCCCGGCGAAAGCCGGAUUAAUACCGCAUACGCUCUACGGAGGAAAGGGGGGGAUCUUCGGACCUCUCGCUACAGGGGCGGCCGAUGGCAGAUUAGCUAGUUGGUGGGGUAAAGGCCUACCAAGGCGACGAUCUGUAGCUGGUCUGAGAGGACGACCAGCCACACUGGGACUGAGACACGGCCCAGACUCCUACGGGAGGCAGCAGUGGGGAAUUUUGGACAAUGGGCGAAAGCCUGAUCCAGCAAUGCCGCGUGUGUGAAGAAGGCCUUCGGGUUGUAAAGCACUUUUGUCCGGAAAGAAAACCUCGUGGCUAAUAUCCAUGGGGGAUGACGGUACCGGAAGAAUAAGCACCGGCUAACUACGUGCCAGCAGCCGCGGUAAUACGUAGGGUGCAAGCGUUAAUCGGAAUUACUGGGCGUAAAGCGUGCGCAGGCGGUCCGCUAAGACCGAUGUGAAAUCCCCGGGCUUAAC
rnacentral:rRNA from 1 species